ensembl:lncRNA
GGCCAAACAUAGAACUAGACAAACUAGACAUGUAACAUAGAAUGCCCACUCAGCUCACACCCUGACCAACCAAAACAUAGAAACAUACAAAGCAAGCUAUGGUCAGGGUGUGACAGGUAGAGGACACAUGCAUAUCUUGUCCCCACGCACAGGGAAGAAGAUGGUUCAGGAGGGAAAGAAAAGCCCAAGGGCCCCAGUUUGAGAAUUACAGAACUUGGUCAUAGCUUGUGGUCACCAAGAUUCCAAAUCUACAAUUAGAUGCCACCUCCAUGCUACUUGGAAGAGUUUCUCUUCCAAAAAAAAAAAAAACUUUAUUGAGAGCAACCAAAAAAAUGUAAACGUCUGGAGUUUGGUAAACGGCAUUGGCACCUGGAUUGGGACCGGGGUGGACAGAUCAGUCCAAAAUAGAGCUAUUUGUAAAACUCUAAAGAAGGAUAGUGAAAAUAACCUCAUACCUACUCGGUAGCGGUGUGUACAAUCACUGGGCCAAGCCAAGCCAGUAAAAAAGUCACAUUACAAAUCAAAUAAAAUGUUAUUUGUCAAAAUGCUUCGAAUACAACAGGUAUAGUAGACCAUACAGUUAAAUGCUUACUUACAAGCCCUUAACCAACAACGCAGUCCUAAGAAGGUACCUAAAAAAAAAAGUAAGCGAUAAGAAUAACAUCUAAUUAAAGAGCAGCAGUAAAUAACAACAGCGGGGCUAUAUACAGGGGGUACGGGUACAGAGUCAAUGUGGAGGCUAUAUACAGGGUAUUACGGUACAGAGUCAAUGUGGAGGCUAUAUACAGGGGGUACGGGUACAGAGUCAAUGUGGAGGCUAUAUACAGAGGGUACGGGUACAGAGUCAAUGUGGAGGCUAUAUACAGAGUAUUACGGUGCAGAGUCAAUGUGGAGGCUAUAUACAGGGGGUACGGGUACAGAGUCAAUGUGGAGGCUAUAUACAGAGUAUUACGGUGCAGAGUCAAUGUGGAGGCUAUAUACAGAG